CCCGCCUGUUCACCAGCCCAUGAACUUCUGAGAUGUCCUUUCCAGCCAGUCCAGAACCAAGACCUCUACAAGUUGCUGUUGCCGCUGCUGAAGUAACCCAGAUGGAGAUCUAACAGCUCACCUCUACUGCCAGAGACCGGCUGACCUUGACCCAAAGCCAUGAGGGGACCGACUGAAAGCUGGCAAUCCCAGUAUGGCAGAAGGAUUGAAUGAGGCAGCCAUGAGGCAGCCUCUCAGCUCACAGAGGCUUCUCGGAAGCCUCUCGCCUGGCGUCCGGGAGACAGAAGAUAUUUCUGAUGCUCCUUCUUCCCCAGACAGCUCGGAUCCCCUCUGUGAGGAGCCUUCAGCCUCCAACCUCAUGUAUUUAUCCCGACGGUCGGCCGGUCUGAUGAGAAACAUGACCGGGGCAAACCAGGGCCUGGCUUUGGGGUUGGAUUCAGAGGGGCGAGAAGGGAGGUGGUCUGGGAGGCGAGAUUUCUCUCCCUCUCUCCCAGGCCUUUGACACGCAUAGCUUUGAACCGCUUUUGUCGCCAUCGUUUAUUCAUCCUCUAAUAAAUCCUGCCUUUUCUGCCGG